GGUUAACCGUAUAGGGGAGCCGAAGGGAAACCGAGUCUUAACUGGGCGUUAAGUUGCAGGGUAUAGACCCGAAACCCGGUGAUCUAGCCAUGGGCAGGUUGAAGGUUGGGUAACACUAACUGGAGGACCGAACCGACUAAUGUUGAAAAAUUAGCGGAUGACUUGUGGCUGGGGGUGAAAGGCCAAUCAAACCGGGAGAUAGCUGGUUCUCCCCGAAAGCUAUUUAGGUAGCGCCUCGUGAAUUCAUCUUCGGGGGUAGAGCACUGUUUCGGCUAGGGGGUCAUCCCGACUUACCAACCCGAUGCAAACUGCGAAUACCGAAGAAUGUUAUCACGGGAGACACACGGCGGGUGCUAACGUCCGUCGUGAAGAGGGAAACAACCCAGACCGCCAGCUAAGGUCCCAAAGUCAUGGUUAAGUGGGAAACGAUGUGGGAAGGCACAGACAGCCAGGAUGUUGGCUUAGAAGCAGCCAUCAUUUAAAGAAAGCGUAAUAGCUCACUGGUCGAGUCGGCCUGCGCGGAAGAUGUAACGGGGCUAAACCAUGCACCGAAGCUGCGGCAGCGACACUAUGUGUUGUUGGGUAGGGGAGCGUUCUGUAAGCCGUUGAAGGUGU
rnacentral:rRNA from 2 species